rnacentral:rRNA from 1 species
GCGGCGUGCCUAACACAUGCAAGUCGAACGGAUUUGAGGGGCUUGCUCCUCAAGUUAGUGGCGCACGGGUGAGUAACGCGUAGAUAAUCUGCCUGAUGAUCCGGGAUAACACUUCGAAAGGGGUGCUAAUACCGGAUAAGCCCACGGGGUCUUUGGAUUCUGCGGGAAAAGGGGGGGACCUUCGGGCCUUCUGUCAUCAGAUGAGUCUGCGUACCAUUAGCUAGUUGGUAGGGUAAUGGCCUACCAAGGCUACGAUGGUUAGCUGGUUUGAGAGAAUGAUCAGCCACACUGGAACUGAGACACGGUCCAGACUCCUACGGGAGGCAGCAGUGGGGAAUUUUGCGCAAUGGGCGAAAGCCUGACGCAGCAACGCCGCGUGAGUGAUGAAGGCUUUCGGGUCGUAAAGCUCUGUCGAGGGGAAAGAAGUGUAUUGUGGCUAAUAUCCGCGAUACUUGACGGUACCCCUAAAGGAAGCACCGGCUAACUCCGUGCCAGCAGCCGCGGUAAUAC